rnacentral:rRNA from 1 species
UACGUAGGGUGCAAGCGUUAUCCGGAUUUACUGGGCGUAAAGGGCGCGUAGGCGGUCUGUUACGUCUGCUGUGAAAACUCGGGGCUUAACCCCGGGCCUGCAGUGGGUACGGGCAGACUAGAGUGCGGUAGGGGAGACUGGAAUUCCUGGUGUAGCGGUGAAAUGCGCAGAUAUCAGGAGGAACACCGGUGGCGAAGGCGGGUCUCUGGGCCGUAACUGACGCUGAGGAGCGAAAGCGUGGGGAGCGAACAGG